rnacentral:rRNA from 1 species
GUGCCAGCAGCCGCGGUAAUACGGAGGGUGCAAGCGUUAAUCGGAAUUACUGGGCGUAAAGCGCACGCAGGCGGUCUGUCAAGUCGGAUGUGAAAUCCCCGGGCUCAACCUGGGAACUGCAUUCGAAACUGGCAGGCUAGAGUCUUGUAGAGGGGGGUAGAAUUUCCAGGUGUAGCGGUGAAAUGCGUAAAGAUCAGGAGGAAGUACCGGUGGCGAAGGCGGCCCCCUGGACAAAGACUGACGCUCAGGUGCGAAAGCGUGGGGGAGCAAACAGGAUUAGAUACCCUGGUAGUCC